GGUAGCGUGUCCGAGCGGCCGAAGGAGCACGCCUCGAAAGCGUGUGAGGGUUCACGCCCUCCGUGGGUUCAAAUCCCACCGCUACCG
rfam:Allokutzneria albata strain DSM 44149 genome assembly, chromosome: I